rnacentral:rRNA from 1 species
UGGGGAAUUUUGGACAAUGGGCGCAAGCCUGAUCCAGCAAUGCCGCGUACAGGAUGAAGGCCUUCGGGUUGUAAACUGCCUUUGUACGGAACGAAAAGCUUCUGGUUAAUACCUGGGAGUCAUGACGGUACCGUAAGAAUAAGCACCGGCUAACUACGUGCCAGCAGCCGCGGUAAUACGUAGGGUGCGAGCGUUAAUCGGAAUUACUGGGCGUAAAGCGUGCGCAGGCGGUUAUGUAACACAGAGGUGAAAUCCCCGGGCUCAACCUGGGAACUGCCUUUGUGACUGCAUGGAUAGAGUGCGACAGAGGGGGAUGGAAUUCCGAGUGUAGCAGUGAAAUGCGUAGAUAUGCGGAGGAACACCGAUGGCGAAGGCAAUCCCCUGGGCCUGCACUGACGCUCAUGCACGAAAGCGAGGGGAGCAAACA